AGUCUUGUGGUGAAUUUCAUACUGAAUUGCAAAUUCAGAGGAGCAGAGAGACUCUGUCGAGACUU
rnacentral:tRNA from 1 species